rnacentral:lncRNA from 1 species
GUGAGUUAUCGGUCAAUAUCCCUCACAAAAAUUAUUGUUGUCUUUUAUGCAUGAACAUUCAAUAAUUCGUAUGUUAUACAACCAUAGGGGAACUGUUAGUUUGGGUCUUGAGCUGAUGAUUGAGCACCUGGUGAAGGGGUGUGGCUGGCCCGGGGAACACAGGCAGAUUGUUUGCAGCUGUGCUCCCCAGGCGAUCAGCAGGUGUAGACCCAGUGUGCAGCCACUCUGGGUUCAUAAAAGGGCCAGCCUCUGGAAAGAGAACAUCUCUGUAAUAUAGACUGCUUCCUGGAAAGGAAUGCUGCAUAGCUAGAGCCGUUUCCCUAAUUUGAUUUUGUGUCAGCAGCAUGUGGAAUUUCCUUCGGUCACUUAAUGUCAUCAUAUCGUAUAGGCAACAGCACUCGGGACAGCACAGCAGCGCUGCUUUAUGGCUGCAGCACAAUGUACUAAGCCAACUGAACCAUAAGUCUUAGAUCCUGGUUAGUAGAUACUAGCAAUGGUGUCUUAAGUACCAAUGGAAUGAAACAACAGACCUAAAAUAGUAGUGCAUAAAAAAUUGUUUUUGGCUUUAGAACUCAACAGUAUUGUGUUUUUUUUUUUUAAGUGAAGCAAGAACUGAAAAUGGGAAUUAACUUUCUUUGUAUUAUGUAUUUAGUGUAAUGUGAGGAAAUUUUCCUCCAAUUCAGUCUGAUAUUGGACAGGGUUGGAAAUUUUUUAUCUAAUCUAGAUUUUUAUGAAUAUAACAGUCUUAGUGUAAUAUAGCACAUGUUCGUUGUAAACAAUAAAUUAUGUGUUCAGUACAAGAGCAGUAGAUGCAAAAUAGUAGCUCUUAGAAGUCUGAGAAUAACAAGCAGCGCAGUGUCAGUAGUGUACCUAGACUAAGUAUUAUUAAGUUUUGUCACACACCAAAAAGAAACGGUUGUAUUGUCACUUUCUUGUGUCCCUUUGGACAGAACUUCCUCUGAAGAAUUUCUAAAGUACAGAAUACAAAGCAAUGCUAGCUGAAUAAACAAGUUUAUUUUCAUAAGCAGCCAUUGUGAUACAUCAUUUGGAAAAAAAUCUAUACAGUCAAAGUGAUUUUCUAAUAACAGUUGUUUCAAGAUAUGUGAUAUUCUUUAAUACGUCAGAUGAACUUAACAAGCAUUAAUGAGGAUAAAGGAGGGGAUGUCAACAGUUAGUUUAUUUGGUAAAACAGUAAUUAACAAACUGCAGUACACUAUGCUGUUUUAGUGCUAAAAUGGGAGGAAGUAAGGUUAAUUGGCUAGAUUGUAUGAUAAUGAGUAAAUCACUUGUCAGCUUUUCAAAAAUGCAGCUGGAUAAGUAAACACAGCAGG